rnacentral:rRNA from 1 species
UACGACUACAUAUCAGGCAUAUCAAUAAGCGGAGGAAAAGAAACUAACAAGGAUUCCCUUAGUAACGGCGAGUGAAGCGGGAAGAGCUCAAAUUUGAAAUCUUCAAGGUUUUACCUUGACGAAUUGUAGUUUAAAGAAGUGUUUUCUGUUAGAGAGUUCGGUAAGAGUUCUUUGGAAUAGGACAUCAUAGAGGGUGAGAAUCCCGUAUUUGACCAGUUACUUUCCAGCUGUGUGAUACACUUUCAAAGAGUCGGAUUGUUUGGGAAUGCAGUCCAAAAUGGGUGGUAAAUUUCAUCUAAAGCUAAAUAUUGGCGAGAGACCGAUAGCGAACAAGUACCGUGAGGGAAAGAUGAAAAGAACUUUGAAAAGAGAGUUAAACAGUACGUGAAAUUGUCAAAAGGGAAGCGUUUGACACCAGUGUUGUUUUCUCGAAAAUCAAUUAAAAAUGAUUGGAUUUUGUGUUGUAUUGACUUUAUCAGCUUUCUGCACUCUUUUCUUGUCUUUUUUAAUGCACUUUUCGUUUAACAAGUCAACAUCAAUUUCUUUUGUUGUAAAAGGGUCAUUGGAAGGUGGCUUUCUUUUCGGAGAAAGUGUUUAUAGCCUUUGACUUCUGCAAUCGGAGAGAUUGAGGUCUGCAGCGUAGAUCCUUCGGGGUUAGAUGCAUUUGUGCUAAGUUAUAGCCCUUCAUAGACAACUUGUUGACUAUGAUCAGUCAUGUAGCUUACUCGCUUAUGUUAUUUUACCUACGCUUAGGAUGUUGACGCGCGUGUGUGCGUG